GGAGGGGGGGCUAGCGUUGUCGGAAUUACUGGGCGUAAAGCGCACGGUAGGCGGUGUAUCAAGUCAGAGGGUGAAAGGCCUGGGCUCAACCUGGGAACUGCCUUUGAUACUGAUACGCUUGAGAGCGGGAGAGGGUAGCGGAAUUCCCAGUGUAGAGGUGAAAUUCGUAGAUAUUGGGAAGAACACCAGUUGCGAAGGCGGCUACCUGGCCCGGUACUGACGCUGAGGUGCGAAAGCGUCGGGGAGCAAACAGGAUUAGAUACCCUGGUAGUCCACGCCGUAAACGAUGGGUGCUAGUUGUUGGGGCCUCAGGUCUCAGUGACGGAGCUAACGCGUUAAGCACCCCGCCUGGGGAGUACGGCCGCAAAGGCUA
rnacentral:rRNA from 1 species